rnacentral:rRNA from 1 species
AGUGAACGCUGGCGGUGUGCCUAAUACAUGCAAGUCGAGCGACCGCACAAGAGGCUCGCUUCUCUGAUGUUAGCGGCUGACGGGUGAGUGAGGCAUGGAUAAGCUUCCUCUAAUUCGUGGGGGACUUCGUGAAACCGUUGCUGAUACUGCAUCAUAUUUUCUACCGCUGAGUUCAGAGGUUAAUCGCGCUCUUCCUGUCUCUUUUAGAUGGUGUCGCGCUGCAUUAGCUAGUUGGUAAGGUAACGGCUUACCAAGGCAACGAUGCAUAGCCGACCUGAGAGGGUGAUCGGCCACACUGGAACUGAGACACGGUCCAGACUCCUACGGGAGGCAGCAGUAGGGAAUAUUCGGCAAUGGGCGAAAGCCUGACGGAGCAAUGCCGCGUGAGUGAUGAAGGUCUUCGGAUCGUAAAACUCUGUUAUUAGGGAAGAACAUAUGUGUAAGUAAAUGUGCACAUCUUGACGGUACCUAAUCAGAAAGCCACGGCUAACUACGUG